UGGGGUGUCGCCAAGCGGUAAGGCACGGGGUUUUGAUCCCCGCAUUCCCAGGUUCGAAUCCUGGCAUCCCAGCAA
rnacentral:tRNA from 2 species